UUUCCCCCAUUACUUCAGCCUGCCUAAUAGCCCCAUCUGUUUUCGGCUGAGAAAGAUUAAUGGCCAGAAGCACUGGGAGUCCUGGCAAAUCAGCAGAGAUAUUACUCUUAGGCAUUGCUCAGGACAUUCCUUCCUGCUCUGCCAGAUACUGUAUGGGUGUUCCUCAGGUUUCAGGGCAGCAGCAGCAGCAAAACACAGCAAGCUCAGCAAGUGGGGCUUUUCUCAUGUGGAGGGGAUUCUAUGAAGCUGAUGGAAAUCACACAUUCAGAGGCCUUGCAGCUCUCACCCCCAGCCUACAAAUGGUAACAGCUGAACUUGGAAGAGUGAUGAAUCCCAGCUCUGUCCAAGCAUGUCUGCUCCAUCACUGGGACCACUCUAAGAAGUAUCAGCAGUCUGUCAGGGAAAAACUGGAGUGCCAUGACCUUUAGGGUGAGCAAUGCAUGAAACAAGGCUUGUGGCACUGAAGAUUCUGACUCUCCAACUCAGCACCUGACUGGCUGUCCUUCUGCUUAGACUCUUCUGUUUCUCUCCCCAGCUUCAGGAAAGAUUUCUAAAUAAUGUUUCAGGAAAGAAAAGAAAAUUGUGUCUUCUUUCCUUAUGCUGUCCCAUCUCCAAGCACCUCCCCCUCCAGACUGAGGCAAUUAACAUUUAACACAAACUACUUAAUUUACACAUAUACUUCAGUCCAUGUGUAAGUUUUCUAGGUGACAAUUUUAUUGGGGAAAAUGCUGUUUAGAUUGUGUGUGCAAAGUAAAUGGCUUGUAAAUAUAAAAAAAAAAAGGUUAAUUUUCAGUUGUGCAAUAAAAUUGUGAAAUAAUCCUCUCA
rnacentral:lncRNA from 1 species